UAAGUUUAUUUUAUCAAUCGAAUUAUCGAUUGGUAUUGAAUUUUUCAUUCUGUUGAAAAUCAGGCAGCGGCCAGACAACCGUAGAGAUGGUUUCCACAGGUGAACAGUUUUUUUCGAUCUGUUUGUCUACUAAAUUCUAUCUCACAUUA